rnacentral:rRNA from 1 species
UACGAAGGGGGCGAGCGUUGUCCGGAAUUAUUGGGCGUAAAGAGCUCGUAGGCGGUUGGGUAAGUCGGGUGUGAAAACUCAGGGCUCAACUCUGAGACGCCACUCGAUACUGCUCUGACUCGAGUCCGGUAGGGGAGCGUGGAAUUCCCGGUGUAGCGGUGAAAUGCGCAGAUAUCGGGAGGAACACCAGUGGCGAAGGCGGCGCUCUGGGCCGGAACUGACGCUGAGGAGCGAAAGCGUGGGUAGCAAACAGG